UGGGGAAUCUUGGACAAUGGGGGCAACCCUGAUCCAGCCAUGCCGCGUGAGUGAUGAAGGCCUUAGGGUCGUAAAGCUCUUUCGCCUGUGAAGAUAAUGACGGUAGCAGGUAAAGAAACCCCGGCUAACUCCGUGCCAGCAGCCGCGGUAAUACGGAGGGGGUUAGCGUUGUUCGGAAUUACUGGGCGUAAAGCGCACGUAGGCGGACCAGAAAGUUGGGGGUGAAAUCCCGGGGGCUCAACCCCGGAACUGCCUCCAAAACUAUUGGUCUAGAGUUCGAGAGAGGUGAGUGGAAUUCCAAGUGUAGAGGUGAAAUUCGUAGAUAUUUGGAGGAACACCAGUGGCGAAGGCGGCUCACUGGCUCGAUACUGACGCUGAGGUGCGAAAAGUGUGGGGAGCAAAACAGGAUUAGAUACCCUGGUAGUCCACACCGUAAAACGAUGAAUGCCAGUCGUCGGGUAGCAUGCUAUUCGGUGACACACCUAACGGAUUAAAGCAUU
rnacentral:rRNA from 1 species